GGGGCAGUCUACAUCCAAGUCGAGCGAAGCGAUUUUGAGGAAUUUUCGGAUGGAAUCGAAAUUGACUUAGCGGCGGACCUUUGAGAAACACGUGGGUAAUCUGCCUUAUACAGGGGGACCCUUAUUAGAAAUGACUGCUAAUACCGCAUAAGCGCACGGGGACGCAUGUUUCUGUGUGAAAAACUCCGGUAGUAUACCAUGAGCCCGCGUCUGAUUAGCUUGUUGGUGGGGUAACGGCCUACCAAGGCGACGAUCAGUAGCCGGCCUGAGAGGGUGAACGGCCACAUUGGGACUGAGACACGGCCCAAACUCCUACGGGAGGCAGCAGUGGGGAAUAUUGCACAAUGGGGGAAACCCUGAUGCAGCGACGCCGCGUGAGUGAAGAAGUAUUUCGGUAUGUAAAGCUCUAUCAGCAGGGAAGAAAAUGACGGUACCUGACUAAGAAGCCCCGGCUAACUACGUGCCAGCAGCCGCGGUAAUACGUAGGGGGCAAGCGUUAUCCGGAUUUACUGGGUGUAAAGGGAGCGUAGACGGCGCGGCAAGUCUGAAGUGAAAGGCAGGGGCUUAACCCCUGAACUGCUUUGGAAACUGCCAUGCUAGAGUGCUGGAGAGGUAAGUGGAAUUCCUAGUGUAGCGGUGAAAUGCGUAGAUAUUAGGAGGAACACCAGUGGCGAAGGCGGCUUACUGGACAGUAACUGACGUUGAGGCUCGAAAGCGUGGGGAGCAAACAGGAUUAUAUACCCUGGUAGU
rnacentral:rRNA from 1 species